AUUGAACGCUGGCGGCAGGCUUAACACAUGCAAGUCGAGCGAGCGGCGGACGGGUGAGUAAUGUCUGGGAAACUGCCUGAUGGAGGGGGAUAACUACUGGAAACGGUAGCUAAUACCGCAUACCAUCAGAUGUGCCCAGUUGGGAUUGGCUAGUAGGUGGGGUAAUGGCUCACCUAGGCGACGAUCACUAGCUGGUCUGAGAGGAUGACCAGGCACACUGGAACUGAGACACGGGCCAGACUCCUACGGGAGGGAGCGAUGGGGAAUAUUGCAAAAGGGGCGAAAGCCUGAUGCAGCAAGGCGGCGUGUGUGAAGAAGGCCUUCGGGUUGUAAAGCACUUUCAGCGAGGAGGCGUUACUCGCAGAAGAAGCACCGGCUAACUCCGUGACAGCAGCCGCGGUAAUUC
rnacentral:rRNA from 1 species